GACGAACGCUGGCGGCGUGCUUAAUACAUGCAAGUCGAACGCAGUGGGGACGGGGGAGUAACACGUGGGUAACCUCCCAUCAGAGGGGAUAACACUUGGAAACAGGUGCUAAACCUAUACUGAUGGAUGGACCCGCGGUGCAUUAGCUAGUUGGUGGGGUAACGGCUCACCAGGGCCACGAUGCAUAGCCGGCCUGAGAGGGUGAUGGGCCACACUGUGACUGUGACACGGCCCAGACUCCUACGGGAGGCAGAAGGAGGGAAUCUUCGGCAAUGGACGAAAGUCUGACGGAGCAACGCCGCGUGAGUGAAGAAGGUUUUCGGAUCGUAAAACUCUGUUGUUGGAGAAGCGGUAUCUAACCAGAAAGCCACGGCUAACUACGUGCCAGCCGCCGCGGUAAUUC
rnacentral:rRNA from 1 species